GAUGAACGCUGGCGGCGUGCCUAAUACAUGCAAGUCGAGCGAACGGACGAGAAGCUUGCUUCUCUGAUGUUAGCGGCGGACGGGUGAGUAACACGUGGAUAACCUACCUAUAAGACGGGGAUAACUUCGGGAAACCGGAGCUAAUACCGGAGAAUAUUUUGAACCGCAUGGUUCAAAAGUGAAAGACGGUCUUGCUGGCACUUAUAGAUGGAUCCGGGCUGGAUUAGCUAGUUGGUAAGGUAACGGGUUACCAAGGGAACGAGGCAUAGGCGAGCUGAGAGGGUGAUCGGCCACCCUGGAACUGAGACACGGUCCAGACUCCUACGGGAGGCAGCAGUAGGGAAUCUUCCGCAAUGGGCGAAAGCCUGACGGAGCAACGCCGCGUGAGUGAUGAAGGUCUUCGGAUCGUAAAACUCUGUUAUUAGGGAAGAACAUAUGUGUAAGUAACUGUGCACAUCUUGACGGUACCUAAUCAGAAAGCCACGGCUAACUACGUG
rnacentral:rRNA from 1 species